CCGAAAGUCGGCAUCAUUCCUAGUCUCAACAAGUUUAUACUUUUACUUAAUUACUGGCUUAUAUUCUCAAUUCAAGGUUUGCCCACAAAUGUAUUUGUUUAACAGGUUGCGACAUUGAGUUAAGUUCCUUAUUCAGCUCUUUAAGUUGAACCUUAGUGCAAUUAAUCUUGAUAGCACUUAAUCUCAAUGUUUAAAUAUUUGUUAGCAAAAAACAACAACCCAUGUUCCCAAUUAAAAUCAAAACAGCACGAUUUUUUCCCAAAUUGGCCCAAUUUCAAACACGGUUAAAAUAAACUCUGCACAGAGCUAGCCACGAUAGUUCUAGCAAAAUUUAAAGUCUUUUAUAAAAAUAACUGGCUUUAUAUGCUUAGUUCACUAAGAUUUAUUACUAUUUUGAAGUUCUUGUGUUUUAAAAAUUGUUUAUGUCACAUAUAGGGGAAAUGAUUAAUUUAAGUAGAGCCCGGAUGUUUGCAAAACAAUAGCAAUAUAUUGCUUUUAGGUUUGAAACUUUAAAUCUAAUAUCUGUCCUACAAAAACAAUGCCAUCAAAGAAAAUGAAGAAAUCAACUAAUAUCAAUUCCAUAUCACAUACAGCUAAUAUGUUUAACCAGAAUAUGUUAUAGUUACUGAGUAUAAAGACCACUGGUAGCAAGAUAGACAGACUUCACCAUAUAGGGUCAUCUGUAUUUCUACAUUUCGGCUAAUCCAUCGACAAAACGUGUAAAAUCAAAUACUCAUGCACUUACAGUACAGUCAUGUAUUCAACUCACAACAAUUGUUUCUUAUGAUAUGUAAUACAGUUGUAUUGUCUUACAUUAAAGUUGUUUAGUCUCAGUUAUUAAAGUUAUAUACUAUCACAGUGUUUUUUUUCAUUCAAAAUCAGGUCCGGUUGGGUCCGGUAACCAGACCCAUUCCCAAUAGGAAAAAGUAUAUAUUUUUCCCAACUGGGAGCUAAAAAUUCCUAAUGGAAACAAAAAAAAAUAUUUUGUUAAGAUCAAUAUUUUGUUCAUCUUCCAUCCAUAUAAGAUCAACCUUAGUAAAUAUAAUACUGGACACACUUGUAUCCUCAAUUCUGAAGCAUUCGUUAACAAAAGAACAACAACACUAAUUUCCCAAUUUAGUCAAAACGCCUCAUUCCCAAAAUGGUGAAAAAAAAACACUGUAUCACAUUUAAAGUUGUACAAUCUUUGGGCACAAAUACUACAACUUGCUGAAGAAAUUCAGCACGAAGAUGUCCUGCGUCAGCCUAAUGUGCCUCCUAGCAACUCUUCCAACAGCGGAGCCUUGGUGAGUUUGACUUCCAUCCAAGGUUCUAUGUCGCUUAGCAACAAUUAGAUGCUUGGUAUUAACAAAUUGUUCCGUACGAGUCGCUCAAACAUAAACGAUCUGAUCCAACAACAGUAGUCGGGAAUUCCCGGGUUUGGGGUGGUGACUUUGUCGUCGGGACUCUCUUUCUAUUGCCUGGUCGCAGAGGCAGCAGCAACAAGAACAACAAGUAUUAUUUGAGCGAUGCUCUGUGGUAUGGAGCUUAAUGUAUGUGCUUUAAAUAUCUAAAAUAUUAAUUUUAUGAUGCUAUAUUCUUAAAUCUUUUUUUCUAAAAAUAAGGGAUGUAGUUGAUUCUUGUUGGUAAUUUCAUGUCAUCGUCGGUUCCUCAAAAAACUCUGUUGCUCUGGUCUCUUUCCUACCAUUGAGUAACUAAAUGGUAAUUAAAUUGAAUGCGUUUAAAUUCGCUUUUAUUAUUAUUUAAUUUGAGUUACAAUGCUAUGAGGUUAAAUUUUAUUUACACAUAUAUAUCAUGAAUAUUGCUGGGCCAAGUGUGAGGUUUAGCGAUCCAAUACCGGUUUAAACCCUCAAUUCUUUGCACGGACAGUUCCCAGCUUUAUUCUUAUAUGUAUGUAUUAGGCUGUUUCGUAUUGUUUAAGGCAAUUGGUCACUUGUCUUAAAUAAAGGACCAACUAAUUGUAUAUAAUGAGAAUGCAAUACUGCUCCAGACGCUGGAGUUUCACUUCUUUAUAUUAAGUAUCAUCCCAGAUUAGCCUGUGCAGACUGCGCAUACAUUAAGUCCUAUUAAAGUGUCAUCCCAGAUUAGCCUGUGCAGACUGCGCAUACAUUAAGUCCUAUUAAAGUGUCAUCCCAGAUUAUCCUGUGCAGACUGCACAUACAUAAAGUCCUAUUAAAGUGUCAUCCCAGAUUAGCCUGUGCAGACUGCACAUACAUUAAGUCCUAUUAAAGUGUCAUCCCAGAUUAGCCUGUGCAGACUGCACAUACAUUAAGUCCUAUUAAAGUGUCAUCCCAGAUUAGCCUGUGCAGACUGCACAUACAUUAAGUCCUAUUAAAGUGUCAUCCCAGAUUAGCCUGUGCAGACUGCACAUGCAUUAAGCCCUAUUAAAGUGUCAUCCCAGAUUAGCCUGUGCAGACUGCACAUACAUUAAGUCCUAUUAAAGUGUCAUCUCAGAUAAGAUCCCAGAUUAGCCUGUGCAGACUGCACAUACAUCAAGUCCUAUUUAUCCGAGAAUGAGGCUCAUAUAGUUCACUUAACGUCAGUCCUUUUUCUACCUGAUUGAGGAAAAGUUCCUAGCAUAAAAUGUGAAUUCUGUGAUUUUAAAUUUAUCAAACUUGGUAAAUAAAUAGCAAAUAAAAGUUAAUCUGAUAUCAGUUUUAAUCAAAGGUCAGGGCAUAGUUUUGUAUAUUUUUCUGCUGAAAUUUAGCCCUUGAACAACAGUUUCUCCUUGAUUUUAAAAAAAUCUAAUUUAAUUAUUAAAUUCUAUUAAAUUUAAGUAAAACAAUUAUUUAAUCCCUUCAGCACAUUAUACAAUUAUUAUCUUCAUUUAUUUUCAAUAUUUAUUUAAAUUGCCAAAUUUUGUUUUAAGAGCUAGUUCCUAGCAAUCAAUAGAUUGGUACUCUGCUGAAAAACAGGAUCUCUGGUCAGCUGGGCCCAGACGCCCAGCAACACUUCCUGGCCCAGGACCUUGGGGCAAAUGCUCAACAUGUUCUAUCUGCAUGGUGAAGCCUGUCUAAACCUUGGGCUCCAAACUUUCCUGCUGUGGGGCCGAGAUUACCUCAUCCAUAAGAGGCCUUAUACUCACAAGUUCAGGCCCAGAGAACGGUGUUCCCCAACUACAACACAACCAGUACGUCUCAAUAGAGGACACCCUUCCUGAAAACCUCGCUGAGUGCGACUGCGCCAUACGUGACCCUUCAGUGAACUGAGAUUCCAGGCGGAAUGUCAAACUGGUACUACUCAGGUCUCCAGAAAUAGCCUCAGCCUUGGACGCAGGUUCAUGAUGCACCCAUGGCCUUACUUAUUUCUGAACAUCUCAAUCUCACAGCAAUUGAUGUGAAUUAAUGAUAAUAAGACUCCACAAACCACGUUAUGGAGAGGGUAUAUUGGAGUCAAUGUUCUCUUAUCAUGUUAAGUGUUUGGAAGUACAUAGCCACGUCAACGCAGCAGCAAAAACAACAGUAGCAGUCUAGUCAAGGGUCACCCCGCAACGUUCACUGCCUAGCGAUGAAAUCAUCCACCAUUACAUGUAGUUGGUUGAGGGUCGACCAAAACCACCCAGUGCCUUACGAUGAAAACCUCCAACGGGACUGUGACCUUGCCCUUGGACUCACCUAAUGGUCAGGUUCAAGGUCACAUGGGCUUAGAUAGUCACUGCAGUAAGAAUGUUUAAGAUUUUAAAGAAGAUGACUUCACAAUAGGACAUCCGAGACUGCAAUGACGAAAUGAGUGUCCUCACUUCAGCAGUGGAGGCCAAUACACAAUACAAGAGUUUCCAGCGGCUUACCUUAUCUGAAAACCGUGGUAGCAGAGCAAUGAGUAUAUCCCAGGAGCAUUUGCAGUCACAGCAAGUGAACCAGCGGCAGUCAUCGUCUCUAGAUUCCGAGAUCCCCAUGCUUCACAACCCUCAGUCUAUGAACAUCAUGCAGAGCAAACCUUGGACGACCAUUGACGAAAUCAAACCAGCAAAUCAGAAGGACAGCCUGUUGCUACAGUUGUUAUCAUAUUAACCCCAGUCAUACGGAAGAAGCUCAGAGAUAUAAAUGCUGUUUAAGAUGUGCUUGUCUCUGCAUACUCCAUGUCUGAUGUGAACAUGUACAAUUGAAGGUCUCUACAUACACCAUGUCUGGUGUGAACAUGUACAAUUGAAGGUCUCUACAUACACCUUGUCUGGUGUGAACAUGUACAAUUGAAGGUCUCUACAUACACCAUGUCUGGUGUGAACAUGUACAAUUGAAGGUCUCUGCAUACCCCAUGUCUGGUGUGAACAUGUACAAUUGAAUGUCUCUACAUACACCUUGUCUGGUGUGAACAUGUACAAUUGAAGGUCUCUACAUACCACAUGUCUGGUGUGAACAUACACAAUUGAAGGUCUGUACAUACCCCACGUCUGGUGUGAACAUGUACAAUUGAAGGUCUCUACGUACCCCAUGUCUGGUGUGAACAUGUACAAUUGAAGGUCUCUACAUACCCCAUGUCUGGUGUGAACAUGUACAAUUGAAGGUAUCUACAUACCCCGUGUCCGGUAUGAACAUGUACAAUUGAAGGUCUCAUCUUUGUAAUCGGGACAGGUGGAAAAUUAAUGAAUUGAUGCAGACAGAAGUCGCAUAAUGACAAAUCAAACAAAACGUGGAAAUCCAGACAGUCUUGUGGCCAGCCAUGUUUUUAUGUGACCAUCCAAGUUGUGUUCAAAGAAAACAAUAUUUCUUUUUUAUUGGAACUAUGAUGCUGAUAGUCAUUUUAUGUAUAAGGCUUUUAUGAACUAUAUUUAAAUACUCAGUAUAAUAAGAUUAAGAUUACUUGAUAAAAGCAAUAAUGAACAAUAUUAUUUUAAGAGCAAAAUUAGCAAGUCUAUCCAAUUACUGUGUCUGUAUUAUGAAAUUUUAUUUUGAAAAUAUUAAGGAAAAUAUAAUGUUACUCAAUAUAUGUCUAUGAAUGUUGAUUUUAACAUUUGUCAAAGCUGUUUAAAUGAUGCUGGUAACUUUGACAAAAUUGAAAGAAAAUGUAUUAUUUUCAUGUAAAGUGACAUGCUUCAGUUUGUUUUGCUUAACAUGUAAUAUAGAGGUGGUAGUUACACACAUUGUUUAGACAUGUGGAUAAUUUUAAUGCUAAGGCUUUGAUACUCUUAAGUGUGCCCAUUGGUGUCAGGUGUUUUUGUCAAGCAUCUUGUUUAUUAUCUUAGUAUUUCAAGACAAUAUUCAUUAAUUUUAGACAAAAUCAUUUAAUCUUCCUUAAAUUGUCUAUUCGGUAUUGACUACCAGUUAUUUAUUAAUUUACUUGAACAUGAUUUAAUAAUGACUUUUUUGUUGCUUUAAAUGCUUUAUAUGUUUUAAAACUAAGCAUUUAAAAACGAAAAUAUAAGAUGUGGGAAUAAUGUCUAAAGUUAUGAUAGUUAUUUUUUGUUUUUGUAAAGUUAAUUAUGCCUUAAAUGUUUGUGUAUAGACAUUUAGACGACAAGAUUAACCUGACCAAGAAUUCUUGAUCAAUGUGUAUAUCGGUCAGUACUUUUGUAUAUAGAGCGAUUGCGAAAUGAUUGUAUUGUUAAUGAAAAUCAUGCGUUUAUUACUGCCAUUUUGAUUUUCGCUGUUAACAUGUAUUUGUACAAACAAUUUUCAUCGUGUACAUCUUUUAGAUGCCAGAUAAUAAAAACAAAAAUUGCUUGUGGAGAUGCUCAUUUGACCCUUUCUAAAUGAUACAGAACAACACAUUCUGAAGAGGCAAAUAUCCUUUAGACAAGAGGAACAUCUUGUUACUAGUAUAUGUAAUGCUUUUCACUAAAUAAAGUCAAGCAACUAUUGAAAGAUUGGUGUAACUUUGUUUUGCAUUAUCUUAAGAAAAAUUAAUCUUUUCUACUUGGAAAUCAGUCAAUUGCAAAUCAAGCGAGAGUGAAUAAACAUGCUAACACUUGACAAUAAUUGAAUUGUCUCUCUUUGUACGUAAGAUAUAGGGAUGUUGUUGCUUGAAAAACAAAGUUGUAUCCGUUGUAAGAUAAUGCUUUUGUUGAUCUCUCAACAUAACAAGUACAUUCAUACAGUUAGUAAAAAUAUGACACUCUUUAUUCUCAGCCAUCAGUUUGUAUUGGGAUUUUGUGGAAUACUUACUAAACUAAUAUAGGUCUGUUUAAUGAAUUAAUAGUUAUGGUACAAUAGGAUACUGAGUGUUACAAAACAUGUGUAAUAAAAAUAUAAUGUCAUUUAUUUGAAAUCAUAAAAUUUAGUUGUCCAUACAAUGCUUACAGUUUUGCAAUUGCGAUGAUAAAGGAAAUGUUCUGCUCAAAAUGUCUUUUUAGCAAUCAUAUUGUACUUGUAUUUAAAUUAUACAUAAUAAGAAUUGACUUAUGGCUGAUGAUAGCGGCAGUAUACUAGUUGUGUUACAGUUUGUUUCACUUGACCAUUAGACCAUAUUUCCUUAAAAAUGUGAUUGUUUAUAUUGAACUUUAAUUGAAUGCAUGAAACAUUGUUGUUCUGUUGCUUCACAGCUGAAAAUAGCUUUAGAGUGUUUGUAAAAUUGUAUGAAAUGUUUCAAAUAAAUCAUAUUGAUUACAUAGAAAAUAAAAUUACAUUUUGCGUUACUUUGAAUGCAUAACAAACAAUUGUUACCAUACAAUCAUAUUAGUAUUAAACUUAAUUAAUACUUUUAGAUGUAUUUUUUACAAUAAUGUGUUAAUAUUGUCAUCCAUUCCAAAUAAGCAUUGUGCAUUCGUAAAUAUAGGGUGUAUAUACACUGCUUAGAUGCCUGUUUUAAAUUGCUUGUGUACGUCAUAUUGAUUAAAGACUCUUUAUGUAUUGCAUAUUUGUGUGUGCCUAUGUCUUACUUAUCUCUUCACAGUCCUUAAAUUACUGCAAAUAGUAUUUUAAUAAUGUUAAAAUAUUUAUCUAAACUAUAACCAGGUUAUCAUGACUAUUCGUGAAUAUUUCUUUGAAUGUGCGGUAGGGAAAACAUUGUUUGCUGGAAGGUUAGAAACUUAAUGUUGACAUCUUGAAAGAUGGCAGUAAACAUUUAACUGCAGAGUAGCUGGGGAAAAGAUUGCUGUUAAACAAUGUAAGAUAGAACUCCACGCAAGAUAUGUCAUGCAUGCGAUAUGCAUGAACUAUCUUUUUAAAAUAAUUUGGAUCUGAAUUAUCUUUAAGAAAUGGUAUGGUUAUGAGGGUCUCUAUGUGCAAAAUGUUGCAUUUAUUUACUGUACAAGUUAUUGCUUAACAUUGAUUUUGUUAUGGAAAUAAUAUAGUUUAUGUGACUUAAAGAGAUAUACAUGUUUAUGUUAGUGAUGUGUUUUUGCUGACCCAAGUAUGUUCUUGCACACUAUUUAAAGUAGAUAACUACAAGUUAUCUCAUUCAAAUGGAAAUAGUAUUUUACUGUGAAAAAGUGUUGUGAGUUCAAAUAAAAAUACUAUGAA